CUGUGGUCCAUUCUGUUUCAGAAAAAUGUUUAUUCUUUGUUUGUAGUUUCCUUUCAUCUUCUACUUAAAUUUACUCUUUGAACUUGGAGUUAGAGGAGAAAAUCAACAGUAAGAAUCUUAUUAAAUGCUUUUUUGACACCUUAUUUUAAGACAUAAGAAAUCUUACUAAACAGUGAGACUAAUGUAGCUAAAUGCUGUCAGUCAUUAAAUUUUUAUGAAGUUUAAUUUUAAUUUUCCUUUAGAUGAAGACAACCCUUGAUGUGGUAGCAGGUUCAAUCAGGGCUUACCGGACUCCAAUUUCCAAAGCUAAGCGAGGAGGGUAUAAGGAUACUCCAGCUGAUGAUUACUUGCAGUUGUUUUAAAGGCCAUGAUAGAGAAAACAAAUCUGGACCCAAGUGAAGUUGGGGAUAUAGUUGUUGGUACUGUUUUGCCACCUGGUUCACAAAGAGCAACAGAGUGUAGAAUGGCAGCAAUCUAUGCUGAUUUUCCU